rnacentral:rRNA from 1 species
UACGGAGACCUCGAGCGUUAUCCGGAAUCAUUGGGCGUAAAGCGUACCGAUCGGUGGUCUAGUAAGUCUACUGUUAAAGACCGAAGCUCAACUUCGUGUUUGCAAGAGAUACUAUUAGACUUGAAGAGUAAAGGGGUUGCUGGAACUCUACAAGUAGCGGUGAAAUGCGUUGAUAUGUAGGGGAACACCAAAAGCGAAGGCAGGCAACUGGGUACUUCUUGACACUGCUAGGACGAAAGCGUGGGUAGCGAAUGGG